rnacentral:rRNA from 1 species
GCCUUGUACACACCGCCCGUCACACCAUGGGAGCCGGUAAUACCCGAAGUCAGUAGCCUAACCGCAAGGGGGGCGCUGCCGAAGGUAGGAUUGGCGACUGGGGUGAAGUCGUAACAAGGUAAC